rfam:Deltaproteobacteria bacterium CG2_30_43_15 cg2_3.0_scaffold_5780_c, whole genome shotgun sequence.
GCCCCCGUAGCUCAGGUGGAUAGAGCAAGGGAUUCCUAAUCCCUGUGCCACAGGUUCGAGUCCUGUCGGGGGCA